rnacentral:misc_RNA from 1 species
AGUGGGUUCAGCGGAUCCAGAGCAUGACCUAUGACAACGGCGCCGGCUAUAUGUUCGCCUACACCAUGGACGGCAUCGCGGUGGCGGUGCUCAACCCGAAACAGAUCGGCACCAGCCAUCUCGAUAAUGUUGUGAACGGACGCAAGUCGACCCGCGAAAUGCGCGACGGUGUCGCCGCCAAGGGCGAUGUCACGAUCCACUACUUCUGGCAGAAGCCCGGUCA